rnacentral:sRNA from 1 species
CUUAUCUGGAGAAGCUGGGAGUCCUGAUAGAUGGAGGAGGCUAGCUCUGUUGAUUCAGAUGAGAGUUUCUAUCUCAAGGCAGCUUCCCUCUCAUUUGCUGUUAUUUCCUCAGGCUCUGAUUUGUGGCAGUGGUGCUACUUGUCAGGAGACUGCCAAAUACUGAAUAGCUGCUUCUCUCUAAAUUAGAAGGGAGAGAGCAAUGAUCAUCCUGUCUUUUCUGGAUUACUGCAAAAACUUCAAGUCCUUUGGUCCCCAAUCCAUUCUUCACACUGCUGCCAGGGAAGUCUUAGG